CUUCCUUCAACUUGAAGCAAAAUACUUUCAGAUACAGAGGAAGACACAUACUCAGGAAGUGUUAAAUGAGUUUGUUUCAUGUUUGGGAGUAGAAUGAUUGCUGCUGAAAGGCAGAGCUCAGUAUCUACAGUUCAGAAAGAAUGGUGAGAAACUGGAGAGGGUCCAGAGAAGAACCUUGAGAAUAAUAAAGGUCAACUUUUAUUCUGCAAAAUGCCACUUUUGAAGUUUAUCCACUUUUGAUAUUGAAUCUUCAAUCAAAGAAAAACAGACCCAAAACAGGAGGCAAAUUGUGUUUCAGUCUCCCAGGUAUUUCAACAGCAGUAUAGACUUGUUACAGCUCUUUCAAGGAGAUCUACAAGUGACUCCAAAAUGAGAAAGUGUCAGACCACGGGGGACAGCAUGAGGGAAUACAUGUAACAUAUAAAAAGUCUCGUUUUGGAACACAGUCUGGAUGCUCAUUUCUGUGCUGUAUGUUCACUAUAACUGCUGAAGUAGGUUUUGCCCCAGGUAAGUUCUUGCAGCUGCAUUACUUUCUGUAAUUUUAGAAGAUACUUAUUUUUUGACUUGCAGCUCAGGUUUGUAUCAUCUUUUUCUGUACUAGUUGAUGACAACUCUGGCAUGCUUCCUUGGUACUGACAUUACCUUCAGGUGCUUUAGAAAUUGAAUCUGUGUUCAGCAUGAUGUCUUGAAGCAGGUUACAAUAGCAACAACUGAAAAUAACUAGAAC